rnacentral:lncRNA from 1 species
GUCAUAUUUAUAUUAUAUGAUGUGACAUUGUGACAUAUGACAGAGUGCCCAGAAAGUCAUUAUGCCUCAAGAGCUUAUAACCUACAAGGAAUUUAAAGGCGUAUUAUUCAGCCAUGCCCACCCACACCCUGCUAUUAUCUACAACAGCAGGGGACUCACUAGAUGAAUCAGAUGCUAGAGAUUCUUUCCAUGUGCACAGGAAACACUGAUUAAUUGGAGCAGUGACAAAAAAGUCUCUUUACCAGGUCAGCACGUGUGGAGGAAUAGCAUACCAUAAGUAACUUGGAGGUGAAGAUUAAUGGUCAGACAGUGGUGUGAAAAUGAUAAGGAAUUGCCAGGAAUACAGCUGGGAAGUCCAGACCAGAGUGCUUGAAGCCACCAUACAACAGACAAAAAGAAAGAAAAGUGGUAUAAGCUGGAGAAGCGAAUGGGGCACGCACCCUGGUUUGGGAAUGCAGGUGGGCAUAUAAUGCUUUCUGUAAGAACCUGGAAACAAUAAAAUUGGUUGAUGGGAGGAUUAGUCUGGAUGA